rnacentral:rRNA from 1 species
AACGAACGCUGGCGGCGUGCCUAACACAUGCAAGUCGUGCGAGAAAGUUCCUUCGGGAGCGAGUAAAGCGGCGCACGGGUGAGUAACACGUAGGUAACCUGCCCCCAGUCUGGAACAACUAGAGGAAACUCUAGCUAAUGCCGGAUGAGACCACGAUCCCUUCGGGGGUUGCGGCCAAAGAUGGCCUCUACUUGUAAGCUAUCGCUGAGGGAUGGGCCUGCGGGCCAUUAGCUUGUUGGUGAGGUAACGGCUCACCAAGGCUGUGAUGGCUAGCUGGUCUGAGAGGAUGACCAGCCACACUGGGACUGAGACACGGGCCCAGACUCCUACGGGAGCAGCAGUGGGGAAUAUUGCGC